rnacentral:tRNA from 1 species
AAGGUUUUAUUAUAUUUUAGUAUACUUAAUUGCAGAUUAGGGGGAUGGUAGCCUUU